AUUGAACGCUGGCGGCAGGCCUAUCACAUGCAAGUCGAGCGGAUGAAGGGAGCUUGCUCCUGGAUUCAGCGGCGGACGGGUGAGUAAUGCCUAGGAAUCUGCCUGGUAGUGGGGGAUAACGUCCGGAAACGGGCGCUAAUACCGCAUACGUCCUGAGGGAGAAAGUGGGGGAUCCUCGGACCUCACGCUAUCAGAUGAGCCUAGGUCGGAUUAGCUAGUUGGUGGGGUAAAGGCCUACCAAGGCGACGAUCCGUAACUGGUCUGAGAGGAUGAUCAGUCACACUGGAACUGAGACACGGUCCAGACUCCUACGGGAGGCAGCAGUGGGGAAUAUUGGACAAUGGGCGAAAGCCUGAUCCAGCCAUGCCGCGUGUGUGAAGAAGGUCUUCGGAUUGUAAAGCACUUUAAGUUGGGAGGAAGGGCAGUAAGUUAAUACCUUGCUGUUUUGACGUUACCAACAGAAUAAGCACCGGCUAACUUCGUG
rnacentral:rRNA from 1 species